UUCCUCAAGAAAUUAUUUGAGGUAAGACCUGCCCAAUGUAAUUAUCAAUGGCCGCGGUAUUCUGACCGUGCGAAGGUAGCAUAAUCGUUAGUCUCUUAAUUAGAGGCUGGUAUGAAUGGUUAAACGAGAAAAUAACUGUCUCUUAUACAAAGUUUGAAUUUCAUUUUUAAGUGAAAAAGCUUAAAUAAACCUGAAGGACGAUAAGACCCUAUAGAGCUUUACUUCAUUAAAAUACAAACAACCUAGAAAUUAAUAUUAUUAUUUGAUAGAAGUUACGUUGGGGCGACGACAAGACAAUAAAUAACUCUUUAUUUUUUAAACAACUAAAAUUGAAAAAUUGAUCCUUAAAGCGAGAUCAAAUGAACAAGUUACCUUAGGGAUAACAGCGUAAUCCUUUUUAAGAGUUCUCAUCAACAAAAGGGUUUGCGACCUCGAUGUUGGAUUAAGAGUUCACCAAGGUGCAGCAGCUUUGGAAGACGGUCUGUUCGACCAUUAAUCUCUUACA
rnacentral:rRNA from 1 species